UGGUUAAGUGGGAAACGAUGUGGGAAGGCUUAGACAGCUAGGAGGUUGGCUUAGAAGCAGCCACCCUUUAAAGAAAGCGUAAUAGCUCACUAGUCGAGUCGGCCUGCGCGGAAGAUGUAACGGGGCUAAAACCAUACACCGAAGCUACGGGUAUCACUUAGGUGAUGCGGUAGAGGAGCGUUCUGUAAGCCUGUGAAGGUGAGUUGAGAAGCUUGCUGGAGGUAUCAGAAGUGCGAAUGCUGACAUGAGUAACGA
rnacentral:rRNA from 1 species